ACGUUGAAACACCGGUUCCCGUACAAUCACCGAAGUUAAGCAACGUCGUUCCUGGUCAGCAACUGGAUGUGCGACCGCUUGGGAAUACUAAUUGUUGUAAU